rnacentral:lncRNA from 1 species
ACCUUUCUGCGAAAUGUAAUCAUGGAAUCUUGGAAACCUCUUGGGCCUCCAGUUCUCACUCUUCAGAUACAGAGGAUGUGAGUUGCACCCUGAGCCCUCUCGCUCUCAGCUGAGUGAAGCGUGCUUCGGUAAGGCAAUUUUCUGUACAUUUACUUACUCCUCACUUGAUUCAACAAAUAUUGGUCGAGCCACAUGUUGACCCAAAUCCUCUUUCAAUGUCAAGCAAAUUGUAUUUAUUUGGAAAUCAUGCCUGACUUUUAACAUUUAUAAUUAGACAUUUAUAUUAUGAUACAUGAUGCCUUCUCAUCUAGUUUUGUUUCCUUUUUAUUUCACUGAGUCAGAGAGGGUUGGAGAUGUGAUUGUGUUGUGCUUGUAAUAUGCUGACAGAAAGCUGACAGCUGCUGAAAUCACCCCAGACAGAAGCCUGUAUUUUAAGAGGAAUAAUACCAGGGAGAGAGGGAUGAAGAGGAAAAUAGAAACUGGGGGGGGG